rnacentral:rRNA from 1 species
GCCAGACUCCUACGGGAGGCAGCAGUGGGGGAUAUUGCACAAUGGGGGGAACCCUGAUGCAGCGACGCCGCGUGGGUGAAGGAGCGUUUCGGCGCGUAAAGCCCUAUCGGCAGGGAAGAAGGAGGACGGUACCUGACUAAGAAGCCCCGGCUAACUACGUGCCAGCAGCCGCGGUAAUACGUAGGGGGCAAGCGUUAUCCGGAUUUACUGGGUGUAAAGGGGGCGCAGACGGCAGCGCAAGCCAGGAGUGAAAGCCCGGGGCCCAACCCCGGGACUGCUCUUGGAACUGCGCGGCUGGAGUGCAGGAGGGGCAGGCGGAAUUCCUGGUGUAGCGGUGAAAUGCGUAGAUAUCAGGAGGAACACCGGUGGCGAAGGCGGCCUGCUGGACUGCGACUGACGGUGAGGCCCGAAAGCGUGGGGAGCAAACAGGAUUAGAUACCCCAGUAUCG